CUUGGUAACACUCCAAAUUGAACAACAUAAAGCUUUGGUUGUAACUGAAAUUCUUUUAUAUCGUGUUGAAGUUCCUUGGGCCAUAAGUUCUCUUCAAGCUUUUCUACUUUAGAGAGCAUCACAAGUAUUGUUGUUACCUUGUAUGGCCUCAUUUUGUUUGCAAAUUUGAUUACUAUGCAAGUAUUUUGCUUCAUAUUGCAAAUAUUGCUAUGAUUGCGAACUGUACAGUUUCAUUUUUGGACUAUCCUGACUUCAAUAAGAGCCUUGUUAUGUGUAUAUUUCUUUUUGGAUGAGCACCCUAUUAUUAACAUAAUACAAGUUCAAGUUUUUUGGCUUCAUGCUCUACUGGCAGGAUGGCAUUCGGUCCAUGGAGGAGAGAGAAGAGCAACACAAAACUAGACAAAGAUAAGUGAAGGGAUGGAUGGACUACAACCAACUACCACUAGAAUUAAAGGCCCGCGUUGAUCUUGCUACCCAAUCUGAAUCGAUAGAGAAUGCCAGAAUGGCAUGGAUGAUGAGGCCAUGUUAGAUUCACUUCCUAGGGACUUGAGAUUUGAAAUUCGGAAAUAUUUUACAUGGACUCUCUCUGCAAGGCAACUGCAAUGGAGGGACAGGACACCAGUGUAGUUACUUAGUACAUUCUUAAGAUUAGUCAAGUAGAUUGGCGAUGUUUGCAACAAUUGACAUCAAAGUUGAUAGUCAGUCAGUCAGAGCAGAACACUCCACAAUGAAGGUCAACUAGCUAGGGUGCUUUUACCUCCAUGGAAUAUUCACGCAAAGACGAUUACAGAUGCAAUUUACAAGGUAUGAUUUCAUCUCCAAGGCUUGGAGUUAGAUUAUUAGUUCUACUUGGAUUAUGUCUUGUAGUAAUCAAGGAGUUCUCACGUAGCAUCCCAAGGGAAAAUUGACUGGGAAAGCUAUUUGUAAUUUACUUUUUGAUAUGGACUUUUGCGUAGAAUGGAGCUGUAAAGAAAUGGUUGUACUUCAGUCUUGAAGUGGCAAUAUAUUGGAAAGACUAACCAUAUGUAGAAGCACUUAACUUUUACAAUAACCGAAAUCUUCUGAACUCUUUUCGUAAAUAAGAUAAAGCACAUAUCUUUAUAUUUCA